rnacentral:lncRNA from 1 species
GGCAAAUUCAGAGAGGUUAGUAUGGACUACGGAGGAUUGCCACAAAGUAAAGAAAACUAAUGUACAAUUUUACUUCAAAAGUAACUGCAACAUAUCAGGUUACUAAGAUAACCAAAACUCAGUAGACCACUGAACACAAACACAUGGUGGCUAAUUGGCCAUGGCUGCACUUGGCCGAUGUACAUGCCACCAUGCGCCUCAAAACACACACGCGCAGACUCUGCUACAAUUUCUAAAUCCAAGGUCCCCAGACAGUAUCACGGCUUGCAACAAGAUCCAGCUAGCAAUAACACCAUAUUGAAGUCCUUGAUCAGAAGCCGAAGAAACCAAGCUCGGUCGCCCUUUCCUUCUCGAACGUCUCGAAGUAUUGGUAUAUGAUGGUGACAGCGAGCAGUAUACCGGUUCCUGAACCGAUUGCACCCAUGAAAUCAGCUAGGACAGUCAGCGCGCCAAUGCAGACUCCUCCAAAUGCAGCAGCAGUGGGGAUGUAUCUGUUCAACUCCCUCUCCAAGUUUGACUCGCGAUGGCCUGGCAUCACCAUUUGUUGUUCCUGUUC